ensembl:snRNA U6 U6 spliceosomal RNA
GUGCUCGCUUCGGCAGCACAUACACUAAAAUUGGAAUAAUACAGAGAUUAGCACGGCCCCUGCCAAGGACGACACGCAAAUCCGUGAAGUGUCCUAUAUUUCU